rnacentral:rRNA from 1 species
GAUGAACGCUGGCGGCGUGCUUAACACAUGCAAGUCGAACGAGAAGUGAAGACGGAAACCUUCGGGCGGAAGGCUUUAUUUCGAGUGGCGGACGGGUGAGUAACGCGUGGGUAACCUGCCUCAUACAGGGGGAUAACAGUUGGAAACGACUGUUAAUACCGCAUAAGACCACAGCACCGCAUGGUGCGGGGGUAAAAACUCCGGUGGUAUGAGAUGGACCCGCGUUCGAUUAGCCAGUUGGCGGGGUAACGGCCCACCAAAGCGACGAUCGAUAGCCGAACUGAGAGGAUGACCGGCCACAUUGGGACUGAGACACGGCCCAAACUCCUACGGGAGGCAGCAGUGGGGAAUAUUGCACAAUGGGGGAAACCCUGAUGCAGCGACGCCGCGUGAGUGAAGAAGUAUUUCGGUAUGUAAAGCUCUAUCAGCAGGGAAGAAAAUGACGGUACCUGAGUAAGAAGCCCCGGCUAACUACGUG